rnacentral:rRNA from 1 species
UUACCCGUGCAAGUCGAACGAUGAAGCCCAGGCUUGCUGGGUGGAUUAGUGGCGAACGGGUGAGUAACACGUGAGUAACCUGCCCUUAACUCUGGGAUAAGCCUGGGAAACUGGGUCUAAUACCGGAUAGGAGCGUCCACCGCAUGGUGGGUGUUGGAAAGAUUUAUCGGUUUUGGAUGGACUCGCGGCCUAUCAGCUUGUUGGUGAGGUAAUGGCUCACCAAGGCGACGACGGGUAGCCGGCCUGAGAGGGUGACCGGCCACACUGGGACUGAGACACGGCCCAGACUCCUACGGGAGGCAGCAGUGGGGAAUAUUGCACAAUGGGCGCAAGCCUGAUGCAGCGACGCCGCGUGAGGGAUGACGGCCUUCGGGUUGUAAACCUCUUUCAGUAGGGAAGAAGCGAAAGUGACGGUACCUGCAGAAGAAGCACCGGCUAACUACGUGCCAGCAGCCGCGGUAAUACGUAGGGUGCGAGCGUUAUCCGGAAUUAUUGGGCGUAAAGAGCUCGUAGGCGGUUUGUCGCGUCUGUCGUGAAAGUCCGGGGCUUAACCCCGGAUCUGCGGUGGGUACGGGCAGACUAGAGUGCAGUAGGGGAGACUGGAAUUCCUGGUGUAGCGGUGGAAUGCGCAGAUAUCAGGAGGAACA